UGCUGUUAUGUUCUGAUCUGUGCAGGCAGUUUAUGCACUUAACGUAACUCCGUUAGACAACUAACUUACAGAGCUAGCGUUUGUUGUGUCUCCGGCUUAGUUUUCUGCAGUCCAUGAUUUAUUAGCUAAGGUGUUUAGUUUAUUUUGACCCCAAACAGCAGCAUUCACUGCAUUUUGCAUACUAUUAACUAACCGCGUGAAUCCACUGUAUGUGCAAGUUAGCGUUAACUUCAUCACGAACGAGUAACGGAUUAGUAAACACACUUGUCUUUUUUUUGAAUCCUCACAGUUUCUGUCAGAAAACACUGAAAGAAAACUUCUCCUCUGUCUCUGUUUAUACAGCGAUGGUUUGGGUUUAAAGCUGGGUUUGUUGUGCUGGAUAUUUGGUUAGGAGAAGGAGAUUUUAUAAGAUGUGUGGCUGCAUAAUUGUGAACUGAGAUCGCGGUCUGUGAAGUUACACCCGCAGCUAACCAGUGACUUUAAAAAACAAAUAAACACAGCUGUUACUGGACUUUAUGGGUUUUAAAAAAUGAGUUAAUUACUUUUAAAAGACUAGGCUACUAAUGUUGGCCCUGCUGAGUCCAGCUGAUCAUCCAGAAAUAAACAUUGCCUAUGCUGGUCAAAAGCUAUUUAAAGAGCUAACCUCCCAGGGUGUGUUUGUUUGUUUGUUUUUUUUCUGGUUUUGAGUAUUUUUUUAAGGAGGGAGUGUACGUCUGUGCUGCAGUAGAAGAGUGUAAUUUUAGAAAAGUUGCUGUAUUUGUCUCACUGUCUUAGAUAGUAUAGACUUUAAACAUGUUACUAAAAAUUAACACUGGACCGUGUUUUUAAAUACUUGCCAUUCUGAACAUUUUCAUGCAUAUUUUUUAUGUCGGUUAGUUUUAUUUAUAUAAAGUAAGACCUGUAGAUCUACUUUAUUGGAUAAAUUGAUACAGCUACCAUGAACUGUUUUGUUUCUGUUCUGUAAAAUCAGGCCCAGUUCCAAAAGACACAACAUCCUCAGUGUCCUGGAGCUCCAGCUGAAGCACUGGCCACUCCACCUUCUCCAUCCCCACCCAAAAGAGGUACUUCUAAGGCAGCUAGUUGAAGGCGUGAUUGAGGUCCAUGCCAGAGGGGUUCUGCACUGUGACCUCAAGCCAUAGAACAUCCUGGUUCAGAUGUACAGUUAGGAACCACGCCUUCAUCUUCUGUUCUUCUGGACCUUCCUCAUGAGUGGUUUACCCAUGAGGCCAAAUCCUCCACAGUGUUGCAGAUAGGAAUCAUCCUGCUGUGUGUGAGAGGUGACCCUUCAACACCAGCACGGAGAUCACCUCAAAGAAGUCUCAGAUCAUCUCUCCACCAUCUGCUCUAUGACCCCUGGCUAAGUAUACACCACGACACAGCCACCACAUCAGGCACACCUCAGUCAGGUACCAUAUAAAACAAUAAUAAUAAUAAUUUUAAAAAAUCUAUAUUUUCAAUCUCUAGUUUAGAGAGUUCUCUAGUAGAGCUGGGUGAUUAAUCGAUUUUAUCGAUAAAUUCGAAUUUAUAGUUAAGGACAAUGUGUUUUUAUGAAAAUCGAUUUUCUCUGAGUUUUCUUUUUCACCACAGACGCUCCUCUGUGGGCACAGAGUGAGCUUAGCUAGCUCCCUCCAUACCUCCCUCCCUCCAGCGCGCGCACCCCUCGCCCCUCCCUCCCUCCCUCCCUCCCUCCCUCCCUUGCACGCACAAACACACACAUACACAAAACACAUGACGGCGGAUGAUCUGGAGUGAUCUGGAGUUGGUUCGGUUUUGCGGCGUCGGACGUAGACCAAACAGGUCCUCGCUGUAAGGUGAACCAAUUUAUCACUAUACCUUAAACAGAACCAUGUAGCGGAGUGGGAGAAGUGCUGCUACCAUAGGAAUGAACGCAGCAGCAGCACCAGUUCACCAUUCAACGUUAAACAA